AUUGAACGCUGGCGGCAGGCCUAACACAUGCAAGUCGAGCGGAGCGGCGGACGGGUGAGUAAUGACUAGGAAGCUGCCUGGCAGUGGGGGAUAACGUCCGGAAACGGGCGCUAAUACCGCAUACUAUCAGAAGAGCCUAGUGCGGCUUAGCUAGUUGGUGGGGGAAGGGCCUACCAAGGCGACGAUCCGUACCUGGUCUGCGAGGUUGAGCAGUCACACUGGAACUGAGACACGUUCCAGACUCCUACGGGAGGCAGCAGUGGGGAAUAGUGGACAAUGGGCGAAAGCCUGAUCCAGCCAUGCCGCGUGUGUGAAGAAGGUCUUCGGAUUGUAACGCACUUUAAGUUGGGAGGCGUUACCAACAGAAUAAGCACCGGAUAACUUCGUGCCAGCAGCCGCGGUAAUAC
rnacentral:rRNA from 1 species